rnacentral:rRNA from 1 species
GAUUGAACGCUGGCGGCAGGCCUAACACAUGCAAGUCGAGCGGAAACGAGUUAUCUGAACCUUCGGGGRACGAUAACGGCGUCGAGCGGCGGACGGGUGAGUAAUGCCUAGGAAAUUGCCCUGAUGUGGGGGAUAACCAUUGGAAACGAUGGCUAAUACCGCAUNAUGCCUACGGGCCAAAGAGGGGGACCUUCGGGCCUCUCGCGUCAGGAUAUGCCUAGGUGGGAUUAGCUAGUUGGUGAGGUAAGGGCUCACCAAGGCGACGAUCCCUAKCUGGUCUGAGAGGAUGAUCAGCCACACUGGAACUGAGACACGGUCCAGACUCCUACGGGAGGCAGCAGUGGGGAAUAUUGCACAAUGGGCGCAAGCCUGAUGCAGCCAUGCCGCGUGUGUGAAGAAGGCCUUCGGGUUGUAAAGCACUUUCAGUCGUGAGGAAGGUAGUGUAGUUAAUAGCUGCAUUAUUUGACGUUAGCGACAGAAGAAGCACCGGCUAACUCCGUGCCAGCAGCCGCGGUAAUACGGAGGGUGCGAGCGUUAAUCGGAAUUACUGGGCGUAAAGCGCAUGCAGGUGGUUUGUUAAGUCAGAUGUGAAAGCCCGGGGCUCAACCUCGGAAUAGCAUUUGAAACUGGCAGACUAGAGUACUGUAGAGGGGGGUAGAAUUUCAGGUGUAGCGGUGAAAUGCGUAGAGAUCUGAAGGAAUACCGGUGGCGAAGGCGGCCCCCUGGACAGAUACUGACACUCAGAUGCGAAAGCGUGGGGAGCAAACAGGAUUAGAUACCCUGGUAGUCCACGCCGUAAACGAUGUCUACUUGGAGGUUGUGGCCUUGAGCCGUGGCUUUCGGAGCUAACGCGUUAAGUAGACCGCCUGGGGAGUACGGUCGCAAGAUUAAAACUCAAAUGAAUUGACGGGGGCCCGCACAAGCGGUGGAGCAUGUGGUUUAAUUCGAUGCAACGCGAAGAACCUUACCUACUCUUGACAUCCAGAGAACUUUCCAGAGAUGGAUUGGUGCCUUCGGGAACUCUGAGACAGGUGCUGCAUGGCUGUCGUCAGCUCGUGUUGUGAAAUGUUGGGUUAAGUCCCGCAACGAGCGCAACCCUUAUCCUUGUUUGCCAGCGAGUAAUGUCGGGAACUCCAGGGAGACUGCCGGUGAUAAACCGGAGGAAGGUGGGGACGACGUCAAGUCAUCAUGGCCCUUACGAGUAGGGCUACACACGUGCUACAAUGGCGCAUACAGAGGGCGGCCAACUUGCGAAAGUGAGCGAAUCCCAAAAAGUGCGUCGUAGUCCGGAUUGGAGUCUGCAACUCGACUCCAUGAAGUCGGAAUCGCUAGUAAUCGUGGAUCAGAAUGCCACGGUGAAUACGUUCCCGGGCCUUGUACACACCGCCCGUCACACCAUGGGAGUGGGCUGCAAAAGAAGUAGGUAGUUUAACCUUCGGGGGGACGCUUACCACUUUGUGGUUCAUGACUGGGGUGAAGUCGUAACAAGGUAACCA